AAAACUAAUAUAUUUAAUUUGCCAAAUUUAAAACACCACAUAUGAUGUCAUCUCAUUGCCAAGAUCACAUUUGUUGCCACAUAACAUACACAGUCCCUUAAUAUUUAACGUCGUUAGCAUCUACUUAACGGAAGGGACCGAUUGCACUCAAAAUUGAAAACAUGGGGACCAAAGAGCUUUAUUUUUAAAACCGAAGACAAAACAAAAAUUCAGACCCCAACUUGGAGACUAAAAAGAUAUUUAAACCUUUUUGUUUUUUUUAAAAAAAGAGAUGAGUUGAAUUAUUAAUGAAGCAUAAAUGUAAAAAUAAAAUACAUGUUGUAAAAAAAAAGAAGCAAAUUCAUAAAAAAAGAAAAUGAUCAAAAUGCAUACAUAAAUAGAUUGAGAAGAAUAUGUGUACCUUGUUGAAGAUUUGAAUGAUAGAGGAAAACCUUACUUGAAAUAUGUUGUGAGAAGAGGUAGAUGAGAGGUAAAGAAGAUGAACUUGGAGUAGAAAUUUGGUAUGAGAUUUGAUGGAAAGGUGUGAGAGAAAAAUGAAGUAGAGUUUUUGGAUGAAGAGAUUUUUUUGUUUGUGUGAGAGAAGGAAGAUGGAUAUUAUGAAAGUAUGUAAGUGUGUGUAGAAAAAAUGUGUGUGUAGGAAAAUGGAAAUGAUGAAGUGGGAGAGAAGAGAUAUGUGUAUAUGUGUAUGUGUAGAAAUUGUGUGUAAAAAAAUGUGUGAAGAGAAGAUGGGUAUUUAUAGAGUUAAGGAUGAAGAAAGUGUUAAAUAAAAUAUAUUUUUAUAAAAAAGUAGGUGGAAAAAUAGAAAAGUUAAUGUGGAAAAUAAGUGAAAGAAAUAAUAUAAAAAGUGAGUGGAGAAAGUAGGUGAAAUAAAAUAUAGUAAAUAGUGAAAGUUAAUGUGGAAAAUAAAUUUAAGAAAUAAUAUAAAAAUUUAGUGGAGAAAGUAGGUGGAAUAAAAUAUAGUAAAUAGUAAAAGUUAAUGUGGAAAAUAAGUUAAAGAAAUAAUAUAAAAAGUUAGUGGAGAAAGUGGAUGAAAUAAAAUAUAGUAAAUAGUAAAAGUUAAUGUGGAAAAUAAGUUAAAGAAAUAAUAUAAAAAGUAAGUGGAAAAAUUAUGUGAAAUAAAAUAUAAUAAGAAAAAGUGAAUAGAAAAAGUUAAUGUGGAAAAUAAGUAAAAGAAAUAAUAUAAAAAGUGAGUGGAGAAAUUAGGUGAAAUAAAAUAUAGAAGGUUUAAUAGGUUCGGAGGUCCCUAUAUUUGGGGGUUUGUUUCAAUUAGGUCCUCCAAUUUUGAAAGUGAUCAAUUAGAUCCCUAAUUUUGUCAAUUUGAAUCAAUAAAAGUUAAAUGCAGUUAACUUAAAGUUUUUGAACAUGUGGCAUGCUCACGCUUCCAGGUGGCACCGUUUCAAGUGUAUAGGUGGAUUAUAAAAGGGUGAAAUCCCUUUUAAUUUAGGGAUUUCACCUUCAAAUACACCCUUUUAAUUUAGGGAUUUCACCCUUUUAUAAUCCACCUAUGCACUUGAAAUGAUGCCACUUAGAAGCGUCAGCGUGCCACAUGUUCAAAAACUUCACGGCGUUAACUGCAUUUAACAGAAAGGCUUUUAUUGAUUCAAAUUGACAAAAUUAGAGACCUAAUUGAUCACUUCAAAAAUUGGAGGACCCAAUUGAAACAAACCUCCAAAUAUAGGGACCUCCGAACCUAUUAAAUCAAUAUAGAAAUAGUAAAAGUUAAUGUGGAAAAUAAAUAUAAAAAGUGAGUGGAGAAAUUUUUUAUUAAAAAAAAGUAAGUGGAAUUAUUAGGAAAGUUGGUAUAUAAAAAUUAAUAUGAAAAUGAGGUGGAAAAAGUAGAUGAUGUGGAAGGUGAUGUGGAGGGUGAUGUGGAGAGUGGGGUGUGAGAAGAAAAUUGGUGGUAAGGAAGUAAAAAAAUGUGGGAUUAUUUUUGGUUAUUGGGCUAAGGAUUAAAAAGUUAAUUUGGGGGUGCAAAUAGUAAAACGAAAUAGUAUUUUUUAAUUUUUUUUUAUUUUCUUUUUUAUAUUUAAAAACUAAACAAAAAUAGUAAAAUAAAGAAUGAAAUAAGACAACAAAUAAAAGAAAGUCCUAUUAUUUAGUCACCCGGACGAAAUUGGG
rnacentral:lncRNA from 1 species